GAUGAACCCUAAAAAGUUCUUUAAACACAAAGGCUUGGUCCUGACCUUGAAGUCAAUUAUUACUUAAUAUACACAUGCAAGUAUCCGCCCCCCUGUGAGAACGCCCUUCACCCCUCUUAGGAAUAAGGAGCUGGUAUCAGGCACGAAAAUCGGCCCAAAACACCUAGCCAUGCCACGCCCACAAGGGAAAUCAGCAGUGAUUAACAUUGAGCAUUAGCGCAAGCUUGACUCAGUUAAAGUAAAUAGAGCCGGCCAAUCUGGUGCCAGNNNNNGCGGUUACACCACGUGGCUCAAGUUGACCUCCUCCGGCGUAAAGCGUGAUUAAAGUUCUUCCACCACUAGAGUUAAAUUAAAACUAAGCCGUGACACGCUUGUUCCUUAAGAAACCCAGAAACGAAAGUUACUCUAAUAUACUAGCUUGAACUCACGACAGCUGGGGCACAAACUGGGAUUAGAUACCCCACUAUGCCCAGCNGUAAACUUUUACUUACAUCUAAAUCGCCAGGGAACUACGAGCUAAGCUUAAAACCCAAAGGACUUGACGGUACCCCACAUCCUACUAGAGGAGCCUGUUCUGUAAUCGAUAAUCCGCGUUUANCCUCACCAUCUUUAGUUAAUCAGCCUGUAUACCUCCGUCGUCAGCUUACCACGUGAGCGCAAAUUAGUGGGCCCAAUGUUAUUACACCAAUACGUCAGGUCAAGGUGCAGCAAAUAAGAUGGGAAGAGAUGGGCUACACUUUCUAUUUUAGAAAAAACGGAAAACUACCUAUGAAACCUAGUUGGAAGGCGGAUUUAGCAGUAAAAAGGAAUCAACACGUCCAUUUUAACUUGGCACUGGGGUGUGUACACACUGCCCGUCACCCUCUUCGAAGCAUUUCUAUAGUCUUUAACAAAACUUCGCACAAGAGAAGAGGCAAGUCGU
rnacentral:ncRNA from 1 species